rnacentral:rRNA from 1 species
UACGUAGGGGGCAAGCGUUGUCCGGAAUUAUUGGGCGUAAAGAGCUCGUAGGCGGUCUGUCGCGUCGAAUGUGAAAACCCGGGGCUCAACCCCGGGCCUGCAUUCGAUACGGGCAGACUAGAGUUCGGUAGGGGAGUCUGGAAUUCCUGGUGUAGCGGUGAAAUGCGCAGAUAUCAGGAGGAACACCGGUGGCGAAGGCGGGACUCUGGGCCGAUACUGACGCUGAGGAGCGAAAGCGUGGGGGAGCGAACAGG